UGGGGUGCUGAAUAUUUAGUUCACAGC
rnacentral:piRNA from 1 species